rnacentral:rRNA from 1 species
UACGUACGAGGCAAGCGUUAUCCGGAAUUACUGGGCGUAAAGCGUGCGCAGGCGGUUAUGUAAGACAGGUGUGAAAUCCCCGGGCUUAACCUGGGAACUGCAUUUGUGACUGCAUAGCUAGAGUACGGGUAGAGGGGGAUGGAAUUCCGCGUGUAGCAGUGAAAUGCGUAGAUAUGCGGAGGAACACCGAUGGCGAAGGCAAUCCCCUGGACCUGUACUGACGCUCAUGCACGAAAGCGUGGGGAGCAAACAGG